rnacentral:lncRNA from 1 species
CCCUCUCUCUCCCCAACUCUCUUUCCCUCCUCCCCUCCCCCUGGUCCUCCAUUAGGUUUCUCCUGUUCUCCUAACAGGAUACUUUUAUCCUUUGUUUUCCGGUGGCUUCAAAUACAUUUUUCCAGCAUAUAAAAAGAGAGGUCUGGAAGAGGAGGUAUUUAUGUCCAUUUGCGCAAGCUUGGAAGUUGCUCUCCCUGGAAUCUCCUCGUAGCUCAACAAAUCACGCUCAAUCCUAAAGGCUCACCUCAAGAGGCCACUGAAAGUAUUUCUCCUUGCUACCUGGCAUGCAGUAUUUAUUGCCUCCUCCUCUGUGAUCUGAUGCCACUUUGUUUAAAUUGUUGUUGUGGAAAUUAGAGAAAUUAUUAUCCCAUGUUUUACUUAACAGCCAAAACUAUUCCAGAGUAUUAAUGUGUAUGGUGAAAUCUCUCAUUUUUCCUGGAAACAGCUCCUCCUCCUGAAGUAUUUGGUUUCCUUGGGAGGUGCUAUGUUCUUAGAAGAACGUACACAUCAUAUGGAGGUAUGUACAGUUAGGCAAGUUGGGCCAUUGGGCGUCCUUGCCCAGCAGUUUCGAACUUUGAACCAUAAGUAAAGGAAGGCAACCCCUCCCACAUGGUUGAAAGCUGAACCAUAAGAAUGGGACUUAUUGCCAGUCUGCAACAAGAGAAGCAGAUUUAAGUCCCUGUUUCCAGGGGGUUUUGAGUACAGCUAAAUUCCUCUUCCUAAAGUUUGGUUGCCACACCUUUCCUUUAUUUCCAUGAAUCAAUUAAGUCUCCUUUUGCCCUAAGCUGGUUUGGGCUAAGUUCCUAUCCCGUGCCAAGGAAAUAGUACAAACAAACCAGUAACAACAUUUGAGGAGUACACAACUAAUUCACUGGGUGCUAAAAUGCCUUUGUGUAGAUUACAGAAAUUGAAAUUUUUCGCAGAAAAGAGGAGGGUGAAAGAAAAGAGAGGGAACCUGAAAGGUGGCAGGAGGAUAUAAGCUGUGUUGUGAGAUACCUUUCUCCGCCUACUGUUUCUAGUAAAAUCUACCAAACUCAGGCAGGGUGUCAGUUUUGUUUCAUUUUGUUUAGGAAAAAAAAAAAAAGAGGAUGAGUCUCUUGUUGGGGUCACUUGUCUAACACCACACAGCUACGCAACAGAGCAGAGUUCAAGAGGCAAAAGAGGUUUGUGGUGUUCUUGCUGCUCUGCGUCUAGUUCCUUUAUAAAUUGUAAUUCUAAAAGUGGAUUA